UUGCAGAGGGGCGGGUGGAGAAGGGGUUUAUUCCACAGCGACUCAAACCGCGUCAGAUCACACAAGGCCAUGGGCACCUCUGCUGUCCACCAGGGGAAAUUUCCACUGGCCCUUCACUCACUUCCUCCUGCCUCCCUGCCCUCCCCCGCGCUCCCCUCCCUUCUUGGCUCCUCCGUCUCUGCUCUCCUCCUCUCAGGGGCCAAACAGAUUUCACUCCUUUCUCACACAAGGCAGCUUAACCAUUUUUUGUGGCUGCACUGGCCCUAUGGUCACCCAUGCCCUAGGCUUUCCCCUUUUAACCCUAGCAGAUAGCAAGGUAUCUUCUCAAACAAAAGUGUUCCUCCCUAAGAAGAGUCUGCCAAGCUAUUGAAAUAACAGUCUUCCCCUCUUCACCGUAGCUGGGUGUCCUGACCUCAUCCCUGGCAUAUCUACCUGCCUACAGAUGUCCCCUGGUUGUUCUCAGGCUCCUCAAACGCAAUCUGUCUCCAGAUGUGAUCCUCCUGUCUCCUGGUACCCCCCCCAACCCCCAUGUUCUCCUCUUGUUUUCUGCAGCUCAGCUGGUGGCAUCUGGGAAGCAUCCUUGACCCUUUUCUCCCUCCUUCCCCCAUCCAGGAAAAGCAUCAAGUCCUGCUGAUUUUCAAUCCUAAAUAUCUCCUGACUGUGCCCUCUUUUUGCCACCCCUGCCGCCCUGCAGCCUUUCACCAGUCUCUCUGUCUGCUCCCUUGCUCCGUUUCAAUCAAUUUUCCAUACUGCAGCCCAAGUGCUAAAAUGCAAAUCUGAUCAUGCUGCUCCCCUGCUAAAAUCCCUUCCAAGCCUCCCAUCCCUCUGGAAGCUCUGUGCCUGCCUUCAGGGACCCUGCAGCUCUCCCUCACCUCUCCCCACUCUGUUACCCUCUGGUUUCACCAAAUGCACACUCUUGCUGGCCUCUCCUUGGAAAAAGCUCUCUCCUCUUCUUGGAGAUCCCUUGCACUCCCUUUGCUUGGGUAACUCCCAUUCCAAAGGCUCAGCUUUGACGUCGCUUGCUCCUUUCCUGGGUGGGGACCCUUCUGCGUGCUCCCACCACACCUGGGCAUUCUCCUACACUGCAGUCACCACAGGGUGUUGUCAUGGUGUGAAUGUGUCUCCCCAGUGAGGCAAGGCGGGGAGGCCUUUGGGGGGCGGGAACCAAGUUUUGUUCACCCCUGCAUGUAGUGUCUUGCACAGAGAUUGGCACAGUAACUGCCCAAUAAAUAUUUGUUGAAUGAAUGAAUAAAAACUUCUUGACUUCCCGGGGCAGAUGACUAUGUCUGCUGCAUUUCAGCCUCAUACUCAUACCUUCCCCCAACUGGGACUGAGCCCUCUGAUAUCUUCAAGAGAAACAUCUUAACUCUGGACUACAGGCUCUGUUCCUCCCCAGUCCCUGUCUGAGUCCCAGUAACAUCCCUCACCCAUUUCCUUCUGUUCUCCCUGCUGUCUCGACUUCACCAUGUCCUCUCCAGGGAACUCCUGGGCAUCUCACCCUGAGCAGGCUCUUGCCAGCGCUCCGUGGUCCUGGCUCCCUGUCCUCUCCACCCCGUCCCUGCUGCGUGUCUCUGUUCUCAUCCUCUUCCACGCCUUUCUGCCCCCCAUCUGCGCUGCUGAGCACUGCUGGAGAAACUCACCCAGUCGUGCAGACUGCUACCAUGACAAGUUCAUGGUCUCUGGCCCCAGUAGGGAUCGCAGCUCUGCUCAGCAAUCCUUCCACAGCUCUCCCCUCAUUCUUUAAACCUCCCCCACUCUCUUCAAGUAUUCGACUCACUCUGGCUUUCUCUCAGCAGAGCACCCACCCUUGCCUCCCACCCUACCUAGAAAGCCAAGCUAC
rnacentral:lncRNA from 1 species